rnacentral:rRNA from 1 species
GAUGAACGCCGGCGGCGUGCCUAAUACAUGCAAGUCGAGCGAACAGACGAGGAGCUUGCUCCUCUGACGUUAGCGGCGGACGGGUGAGUAACACGUGGAUAACCUACCUAUAAGACUGGGAUAACUUCGGGAAACCGGAGCUAAUACCGGAUAAUAUAUUGAACCGCAUGGUUCAAUAGUGAAAGACGGUUUUGCUGUCACUUAUAGAUGGAUCCGCGCCGCAUUAGCUAGUUGGUAAGGUAACGGCUUACCAAGGCAACGAUGCGUAGCCGACCUGAGAGGGUGAUCGGCCACACUGGAACUGAGACACGGUCCAGACUCCUACGGGAGGCAGCAGUAGGGAAUCUUCCGCAAAGGGCGAAAGCCUGACGGAGCAACGCCGCGUGAGUGAUGAAGGUCUUCGGAUCGUAAAACUCUGUUAUUAGGGAAGAACAAAUGUGUAAGUAACUAUGCACGUCUUGACGGUACCUAAUCAGAAAGCCACGGCUAACUACGUG